rnacentral:rRNA from 1 species
AGUGAACGCUGGCGGUAGGCCUAACACAUGCAAGUCGAACGGCAGCACAGUAAGAGCUUGCUCUUACGGGUGGCGAGUGGCGGACGGGUGAGGAAUACAUCGGAAUCUACUUUUUCGUGGGGGAUAACGUAGGGAAACUUACGCUAAUACCGCAUACGCCCUACGGGUGAAAGCAGGGGAUCUUUGGACCUUGCGCGAUUGAAUGAGCCGAUGUCGGAUUAGCUAGUUGGCGGGGUAAAGGCCCACCAAGGCGACGAUCCGUAGCUGGUCUGAGAGGAGGAUCAGCCACACUGGAGCUGAGACACGGUCCAGACUCCUACGGGAGGCAGCAGUGGGGAAUAUGAGACAAUGGGCGCAAGCCUGAUCCAGCCAGACCGCGUGGGUGAAGAAGGCCUUCGGGUUGUAAAGCCCUUUUGUUGGGAAAGAAAAGCAGCAGGUUAAUACCCCGCUGUUCUGACGGUACCCAAAGAAUAAGCACCGGCUAACUUCGUG